GAAAUAAAAAAUUUAAAGAUAAGCUUCUAACUUAAACUUUUAGUGGUGAAAUUCCAUUAUUAUUUCU
rnacentral:tRNA from 1 species